UCCGUAGGCGGCUUGGAAAGUCGGAUGUGAAAUCCCACAGCUCAACUGUGGAACUGCAUUCGAAACUUUCAAGCUCGAGUGUGAUAGGGGUAAAGGGAAUUCCCGGUGUAAGAGUGAAAUCUGUAGAGAUCGGGAGGAACACCAGUCGCGUAGGCGCUUUACUGGAUCACUACUGACGCUGGAGGGGCGAAAGCCGAGGGGAGCAAACG
rnacentral:rRNA from 1 species